rnacentral:rRNA from 1 species
AACCUCCGCAAUGUGAGAAAUCGCGACGGGGGGAUCCCAAGUGCCAUUCUUAACGGGAUGGCUUUUCAUUAGUGUAAAGAGCUUUUGGAAUAAGGGCUGGGCAAGACCGGUGCCAGCCGCCGCGGUAACACCGGCAGCUCUAGUGGUAGCAGUUUUUAUUGGGCCUAAAGCGUCCGUAGCCGGUUUAAUAAGUCUCUGGUGAAAUCCUGUAGCUUAACUGUGGGAAUUGCUGGAGAUACUAUUAGACUUGAGACCGGGAGAGGUUAGAGGUACUCCCAGGGUAGAGGUGAAAUUCUGUAAUCCUGGGAGGACCGCCUGUUGCGAAGGCGUCUAACUGGAACGGUUCUGACGGUGAGGGACGAAAGUUAGGGGCGCGAACCGGAUUAGGUACCCGGGUAGUCCUAACCGUAAACGAUGCGGACUUGGUGUUGGGGUGGCUUUGAGCUGCUCCAGUGCCGAAGGGAAGCUGUUAAGUCCGCCGCCUGGGAAGUACGGUCGCAAGACUGAAACUUAAAGGAAUU